ensembl:lncRNA
CAAAACAUUAUCAUGAAUCGGUUUGAACUUGUGAGCCAUCCAUUUUUUUUUUAAUUUAAGACAUCACAGAUCACAGUGCUCAUCUUUCCAAUGGUGGACAUACAUACCAACACACACGAGGCCUUCAGAUCUACACCCUUAAGCAUAAUGUAAACUAUUCACCCUCCUCCUAGGACCAUUGUUCUCCACACAUUUACAUUCAACUACAAACGGGCCAAGCUACAGUGGCUUUUCAUAUUGCAUAUUUAAGACUCUCUGCUCUCUGUAGCCCCACCUCUGGGACAUUGUUUAGCUAGCCUAAAGUGCUGUCACCAAGACCCAGAAAUAAAGACUACACUACUGCUACCACAGGAAGUAUGGCCUGCGACACAUCAUCAUGGAUGGGAGACUCGGACACAGUUUAAAUAAACACUGGUCGAGUGAGUUUUUGCAUUUAACUUUAAUGCCAAAUGUUAUUUUCCUCUACUUGGUUUUUAUUCCAAACCAAAUAAGUAUUUUGUUAACCUAUGAUCAUUGCCUUCCUGGUUCGGUUUUGAAUAUGAUGACGUAAGGGGAAAGAUGCCAGAAUACCUUUGCAACAGAUAUUAUGCACUGGUUCAGGAUAUUGUUUAGGUUUUGUUGUCGUAACUUUAGAUUGAUUCAGUUCUUUCCAUUGACUUCCCAGUGUGUGGAUAAAGUGCUUCCAUUUCUUUUUGUGGUAAUAUGAUGCUAUUCAAUUAACAAUAUUAUAUAUUUUGAUAUGAAACGUUUUCUCUGCUUCUUCAUCCCUGUUCUUUCUUCUUCUUCUUGAAAAGUGUGAUCCAUUACUUCAACAGGUCAUAGAUUUUCCGAAUGUGUUAAUGAUAGUUUGAGGUAGUUUGAUGUUUGAGGCUUGAUGGACUUGCACAAGAGAUUAUAACAAUAUUUUACAUUUCGGUCAAUUAUUUCUUAAAUUCUUAUUAUCUUCCAGUAAUUCAUAUUUACCUUCCAGUUGAGGCUGUAUUUGUCAAAAGAUGUGUGUGUGUUUUUAACAGACACAGUCCAUGUGGGUAAAUUGAUUUGAAGGUCUAUGUUUUUGCAUUAGUGUUAUUUCAUCACAGAAAAUUAACUUUUCUACAUGGGGUAUACUUAUGUAAUUUAUAAUGUUAUGCUUUACCCAAAACUAUGCAUUUAUAAAAGUUCAUUGUUAGAAUAGGGUUAAAACAUAAAGGGCCUUUUAAAAUAUCAGCACAGUAAUCAAUAUGUUUUGAAAGUGCUGAAUGAUUUGUUGAUAGAUACAGUAUUUAUUUGUUGGCUGUAAUACUUCAGUACAGAAUUUGACCAUGAAUCUUUCUUCAGUUUUGACUUCCUCAGACAAAACUAUCCAUUAAAUAAGAUGCUAUCCAAUGUUGAAUAUGCAACAAACUAGGAACUAGUCAUAUCAUGUACCUCCACUCAACCAUCAUGAUAUUCACUCAUCCAUUCAAUAGUUAUGGAUUGAACUCUAUGCCCUGACCAUGUGAAGGAUCACUGCACUUGGGACAAUGCUAUAUAGAUUUAUUGUAACCAAAUGCUUAUUAAGGUGCAUUAUUACUAGCGCCCUGUCCAGGGUGUGUACUUGUACAUCAAGCUGCCUCAUGCUACAGAAACAGGAGAUAGGCUCCAGGGUUGGGGUCAAUUCCAAUUUAAAUUGAAUUUUAAUUCAAUUCAGAAUCGAGCUGGAAUUAGAAUUGAAUACAUGGGAAAUGAAUAGGCUCCUGCCCUACGGGACAAGGGGCAGGGGCUCGGACAAGGCUUACUUUGUUUAUUAUGUUAUUCAAGAUGGAAAUGACACUUAAUGCUCUGAAUAGACAACUUCAACAAGGUCUAAUGUAUUCUAGAACACUGACACAUUCUACAACAAGAAUUGUAUGUUUAACUUAAUUGCUCAGCAGAUCAAUGUUCAAAGUAUGGAAGUGGUAGGAAUGUUCACUGAUGGAGAAACCCUCCAUUGAACAGAUAGGACUUCCUCCCCUUCAUAUCAACCUGACCUAUCAUAAUGCCAAAUAUUAUUGACAAUGAAGGAAGUUCAUAUAAUAUUUGGCAUAUAGGACAGUGCAAUAUGAACAUUUUAAAAGUAUGAAAUUCAACUAGCAUGUUAUGAUUUGUUAGUAAUUGCUGAUAACAACAGCUGUUUGAUUCUGUUUAUUGUCUUUUGAAUAUAUCAGAUGCCCUGGUUGUGGUGAUGCACUCACCACCCAGUGAUAGAGAUGGACACAAAUAACCAGUCAUGAACUGAACUGUACACAAAAAUAGAAACAUUUCUAUUUAUGUCUUUUUAUUCAUUUUUAGCACACAAGUUGGAAUGGCCUUAAUUUAGUUUUACUUGCUUAAAUAUUGUGUAUUGGCACAAAGUGCACAUCUUGAUUUGCUAAUUACAGUUAUGAUAAUAAUCCAAGAGUGCACUUCAGAAGAAGGAAAAAAGUUCAGCAAAUCCUUUUUUUUUAUUUGAUUAAAAUGUGAAAACACUGAAUAUUUUGCAUGAAUAUAAAC